rnacentral:lncRNA from 1 species
CUCAGGUCACUGUUGGCCUCCAAGGAUCAACUGAGAAUAAAGCCCAAGUUCUCCAGCCUGGCAUUCAAGGCUCUUCACACUCAGACUCCAGCCUAUUUCUCUGGCCCCACUACAGGCACUUCACAUAAUCUGCACAGAGACUCUAUAACAGUCUCUCAUCAUCAUCUCCAUUUGCCCAACAUCACACAGCUGGCAAGUGGAGCUGGAAUAUGGACCCAGGUCCCCUGGAUGCCAUCCUGCUGUGUCAUGAGCGAUAAGCACAGACUGCUGGAACACAGUCCAUUCACCAAAACUGUGCCUUCCAAACAGUAAGGGUGUCAAUAAUGGGUGGAGGGGAAAGUGUGAAGAGGAACCAGGGCAAGGAACUUGGAAGGUGAGGAUUGCG